rnacentral:lncRNA from 1 species
UUCAGCUGUGUGAUGAGGAGGAUGGGCAAGUCGUUGGUUAUCUGUCACUGUGUAAUGAAUUAGCCCUAAAUGUAGUGGCUCAAAACAAUAAUUGACUUAAGAAUCUGCAGCUUGAGUAGGGCUUAAUGGGGAGGCUUGUUACUGCUGAAUCACCAUCAGUCGGGGCUGCUUUAGUGGGACAAGGAUUUCCACUUUAGAGAUGGCUACUCACAUGGGUGGCAAGUCAUUGCUGGCUGAGGGCUGGGAGCCUUCUUUUCUUUCUAUCUGGGCCCCAACACAGGCUGCUUGAGUUGCUUCACAGCGUGGUUGCUUGGCUCCAAGAGUGAGCAUCGCAGAGAACCAGACACAGCUGCAUUGACUUUGAGGACCCCAGCCGCAUGCACUGUCACUUUGGCCACAUUCUAUUUGUGGAGUCAGUCACAGAGGCUGAUCUAUGUACAAGGAGAAGGAAUGUAGACCUCAGUUUAUGAUGGGAAAGGUAUCAAAAUCAGAUUGUCAGAAGAGCAAGUGGGAUGGAAGGCAUUGUUGUGACCAUUUUUGGAAAAUACAACCUGCCACUGAGGCUGUCAGAGAGAGUGCAAAGGAGAGAGGAGGUUAUAAAAUAUCUUCCCAGGCUUUGGCUUCAACAUCUCUGAUCUACCGUGAUUCCUAUGGCUUGCUGAGCUGAUGCAGGGAAAUCUCAUGAGAAAGAGUUACGAAAGAAUAGCAGAAAUACAUCUCGGGAUGGGGGAGAGAGCUGUUAUCUGGAAAGUCCUUGUGCAAAUGAGACCUGAACAUUCCUUUCCCACUGUGGGUGGGUUACAACUUGAAGGAAGCCGUUCACCCAGCCAUCUAAUUUCCCAGAGAUCUUGAUUGCGAAGGACCGUUUGCAGAUCCCAUCGGAGGGGCCCAGCGGCCCCUCCCACCGCAGAGUGAUUGACACAUUUCACUCACUACCGUGCCAGAAAACAAAGGCUGCAGAUACUUGAAAAUUAAAGUUCCAGCAUUCCCGGUCGGAGUAGAAGAAAGACAAAUCUGUAUAUAUACUUGUAAAGAUUUGCUCUGACUUCCAAAAUGGGUAAAAUAUAGGAUAAAAAGGAAAAGGAGAGGAGAGACCAUCUGAGAGUCCCUUGCAUCCCCAGGCCCAGUCACCUGUGUGGAGUUGCCUCGGGGACCCCUGUCCUCUGCAUUACUGUGCGCUGAGGAUAAGCAAUAGAUGGUGCGCGGCAACGCCCCCAUGGACCAUCCUUCUGGUAGUGACUCAUUGCGCGCGAGAGUGCUCAGUCUCCCUGUCAGUGCCCCAUGUAAUCUAGCCAGUAUGACCAACAACCUGUUGGGCAGCAUGGAACAUUCAGGAUCCUUCAGGCCUUGGAUCCCUAGAGGGCAGGUGGUGACAUAAAAGACAAGCUUUCGCAUCUAGAAGAGGUAGGACUGCGCAAAAACCGUCCAGCUCUCCACACUCACCAGGGCGCUGCUCACUGGCAGGCUGCGCACAGAAGUAUCUCGCACAGCGAGUGCAAGAGCUCGAAGUAUGUGAGCUAUUGUCAGCCUGUCCAGUUUUUCUCUCAGUAAAUGCUGAGCAUCCCUGAUGUGCAGUUUUUUCACAUCUCUUAUUGCUUCCUUAAGACCGUUUCUUAAAGGGGCAAUUAUCCUUUAAGUAUGAACAUCUUUAAGACUUUUAAUAAAUAUAGACCAUCUUACCCUCAGGAUGAUUUAACAAAUUUACCCUUUAGUGAGAGGAUAUAUUUUUAUAUGUUUUCACCAAAAUUAGUAUAAAUAAAUAGCUAAGUUCUGGUUUUCUGAUUCUAAAAGUAAUAUAUACGUGCUUAUUACAAAAACACCUGAAAAUUCUGAAAAAACAAGUAUGUCUUUUGACAAAAUAAGGUUGGCCCAUUAUUUUUAAGGCAAGCUGGUAUUCCAUGGUAUGACAAUAUUUUAUUUAGUUAGUCAUUUAUUAAUAAGAUUUUAGGUUGAUAUAUUAUUUUGCUAUUUGCUAAAUUUUACAAUGAGUCUCUUAAACUCAUAUCCUUGUGAAUUUGCCCAAAUAAGACCUUAAUGUAAUUUCCUUAUCCGUUCUAAUACAUGUCAAUCUGAUAUUUUUAGUUUCUUCUAGGUAAGCAAUCAUGUUAUUUGAAAACCACGAGGAUUUUGAUUUUCCCAUUUU